CAGGCCUAAUACAUGCAAGUCGAACGAUACCGAGAGGCUUGCUUCUCGGGAAAGUGGCGCACGGGUGCGUAACGCGUAUGCAACCUACCUCAAUCAGGGGGAUAGCCCGAAGAAAUUCGGAUUAACACCGCAUAAAAUCACAGGAUAGCAUUAUCUAAUGAUCAAAUAUUUAUAGGAUUGAGAUGGGCAUGCGUGUCAUUAGUUAGUUGGCGAGGUAACGGCUCACCAAGACCACGAUGACUAGGGGAUCUGAGAGGAUGACCCCCCACACUGGUACUGAGACACGGACCAGACUCCUACGGGAGGCAGCAGUAAGGAAUAUUGGUCAAUGGAGGCAACUCUGAACCAGCCAUGCCGCGUGCAGGAAGACAGCCCUCUGGGUCGUAAACUGCUUUUAUUCGGGAAUAAACCUACUUACGUGUAAGUAGCUGAAUGUACCGAAGGAAUAAGGAUCGGCUAACUCCGUGCCAGCAGCCGCGGUAAUACGGAGGAUCCAAGCGUUAUCCGGAUUUAUUGGGUUUAAAGGGUGCGUAGGCGGCUUAUUAAGUCAGGGGUGAAAGACGGUGGCUCAACCAUCGCAGUGCCCUUGAUACUGAUGAGCUUGAAUACACUAGAGGUAGGCGGAAUGUGACAAGUAGCGGUGAAAUGCAUAGAUAUGUCACAGAACACCGAUUGCGAAGGCAGCUUACUAUGGUGUUAUUGACGCUGAGGCACGAAAGCGUGGGGAUCAAACAGGAUUAGAUACCCUGGUAGUCCACGCCCUAAACGAUGAAUACUCGCUGUU
rnacentral:rRNA from 1 species